UUCCACGACGCAGCGUGCGCGAAAAAGUGCCGAGUGAGUGAUGCGUCGAACUCUUUUCCGCGAGCCACCCCCUGUGCUCAUCUCUCUUCGCCGGGCGCCCCCCACGGUGCCCAAUAAUCCGAGAGUCCGAGAGAACACGGAAAGUGGAAAUGGAGAGAACAAGAAAAACCAUGUUUGCAACAAGAACAAAAA
ensembl:ncRNA R04F11.7 ncRNA